rnacentral:rRNA from 1 species
UACGUAGGGUGCAAGCGUUGUCCGGAAUUAUUGGGCGUAAAGAGCGUGUAGGCGGUUCGGUAAGUCUGUCGUGAAAUCCUGAGGCUCAACCUCGGGCGUGCGAUGGAUACUGCCGGGCUAGAGGGCGGGAGAGGUCGGUGGAAUUCCCGGUGUAGUGGUGAAAUGCGUAGAGAUCGGGAGGAACACCUGUGGCGAAGGCGGCCGACUGGGCCGACCCUGACGCUGAGGCGCGAAGGCGUGGGGAGCGAACGGG